GUGCUACAUGCGUUGCUUAUUCCUACAGGGGGGGACCCUGUAGGAAUAAGCAAGGCCACAGAAAUUUGCAUCUGAUUGACAAGUUUCAUGUCAUUUCCUUUGGCUUUUAAAGGUAAAACUUCAGACAUCCACACAACCCCACAAUAGGAAUCUUCUCUUAUCUUGGACUCUCAGGUCACAGAUUGGCCUCAGCGGGGACGGUAGGCCUGGCCGGGUCCACUCCAACACUAUCAACAGCAAGGCGAGCAGUCCUGCCAUCACAGAUACACGAAUACAGUCACUCAAAGGCUUCUGAGCAGCAAAACUGAAUGAAAACAAGCUGAUUUGUGCUGGCGAGUAGCAGUUGCUCUAUCUCAGCCCAGUUGAACACCUGUGGAGCAACAUGUUAAUGCUCUCCACCACCAUCAUCGAAACAUCAAAUGAGGGAAUAUCUUUUGAAGAAUGGUGAUCGUCCCUCCAGUAGAGUUCAGAGGCUUGGACAAUCUAUAACAAGGAGCCCUGAAACUGUUCUGGAGGCUCGUGGUGGCCACUUUAUAUUGGUUUUUACUUCUAUCUGUCACCUUUCUUUAUAUUUCUAAUAUUGAAGAUGAAUGUGCUUCCUCUGUACUUGCUGGGGCCUCCUUGGUGUAUUUCUUCUGUACCUGUGGUUAGAGGCAGUAUGAGCAAUUACACUGCAUCAAGUUUGUCAAAAGAAAAAUAUACUAGUAGAUACAGAUUCACUGACUUCACUAUUUUCCAGUCAGUAUUUCCUGCUGCGUUGAACACCAGCUGUGGAACUUGAAACAAGUGUAGAUAAAGGCAAACACUUUAACAAAGUACUCUUGUCAAAUGUACUCAAUGUGUGAGAAGUUCUGUUAAUUGAGUUAUGCACACUCUGAUAGCUCUGGUUCUAACCGAAUCAUUGAAACAGAACUGCAUAACAGAAAAGAGAGUAGAACAGCAAAAAAACGUGAGAGAACAGGAGUUAGACAAGAGCCAGACUGAUGCUGCUAAACAAAGAACAGAAAAGAAGGCAUGCCAGAUUAGUGCCGAUGAUGCUGAAUAUGAUGAUGUUCUCUUGUGAUCAAGACAUCUCAGAAUAAGCUGUAAUAGAAACUACAAAUGGGCUGUUGAUUGUGCAAUAAAGCAAUCAAAGUGAUUUAAAAAAACAACAAAAAAAAACAAUGGUUACUGGUAACAACAGUCAUAACUGCAAAGUGUGUGUUUUCAAAUCAGAUUUUCAGACAGACUUUUGUAUGAUGGAUAAAAAUCCGAUUUUCA